ACAACAUUCGGAACGUCGGUCUACCGGGCAAUUACACCCGCACGGUGGAAGAUCUUCCCUUCGUCGU
rnacentral:pre_miRNA from 1 species